UCAGUGCAACCCGUCCAAGAACAGACGUGCAGUAUACUGGCUGGACAGAACUGGAAGACUGAUGGAUCGCCAACCCAACGGCACCCUGUAAAGAGGCGCGGCGGCGAGGUGUCCCCAUACUUUUGAGCGUGAACAAGAGCUGCACAGAUGCCGGCCGCCCACACACGCAGCACAGAGGACGGUGGGUGGGGGUGGUGGUGCUGCUGCUCAUCCAUCUGGGCCGCAGACUGCCGGUGUCAGGAGGAAUCACCAGAGGAGAGGCGGAUCAUCAGAAAAACAAAAAGAAAAGAACGCAGUGUCUGUCACACGGCAGUAAAACGGCUGAUCAAACAAAACAGAAGCCAUGGUCAUGGCUGCGCAAGCUAGCUCUCCAAUCAGCUAAACAGACUCAAUAACUCCACGCUGACGUGUUGGUGAAUUCACGGAACUGGAACGAUAGC